rnacentral:rRNA from 1 species
AGUGAACGCUGGCGGUAGGCCUAACACAUGCAAGUCGAACGGCAGCACAGUAAGAGCUUGCUCUUACGGGUGGCGAGUGGCGGACGGGUGAGGAAUACAUCGGAAUCUACUUUUUCGUGGGGGAUAACGUAGGGAAACUUACGCUAAUACCGCAUACGACCUACGGGUGAAAGCAGGGGAUCUUCGGACCUUGCGCGAUUGAAUGAGCCGAUGUCGGAUUAGCUAGUUGGCGGGGUAAAGGCCCACCAAGGCGACGAUGCGUAGCUGGUCUGAGAGGAUGAUCAGCCACACUGGAACUGAGACACGGUCCAGACUCCUACGGGAGGCAGCAGUGGGGAAUAUUGCACAAUGGGCGCAAGCCUGAUCCAGCCAUACCGCGUGAGUGAAGAAGGCCUUCGGGUUGUAAAGCCCUUUUGUUGGGAAAGAAAAGCAGCAGGUUAAUACCCCGCUGUUCUGACGGUACCCAAAGAAUAAGCACCGGCUAACUUCGUG